GUUUAUGGUCAUCCUACCCUGAAUGCUCCUGAUCUCAGAAGCUAAGCAAGGGGCAGGCCUGGUUAGAACUCAGAUGGAAGGCCUAUCUCCAAAAUAACCAGAGUACCGGGGCU
rnacentral:rRNA from 1 species